rnacentral:rRNA from 1 species
GACGAACGCUGGCGGCGUGCCUAACACAUGCAAGUCGAGCGGAGAUGAUGUGAGGAAGUUUUCGGAUGGAAUCACAUUAUUUUAGCGGCGGACGGGUGAGUAACGCGUGAGCGACCAACCUUGCACAGGGGGAUAACGGACCGAAAGGUUCACUAAUACCGCAUGAGACCACGGUGUUGCAUGACACAGAGGUCAAAGGAGAGAUCCGGUGCAAGAUGGGCUCGCGUCCGAUUAGGUAGUUGGAGGGGUAACGGCCCACCAAGCCUAUGAUCGGUAGCCGACCUGAGAGGGUGAUCGGCCACAUUGGAACUGAGAUACGGUCCAAACUCCUACGGGAGGCAGCAGUGGGGAAUAUUGGGCAAUGGGGGAAACCCUGACCCAGCAACGCCGCGUGAAGGAAGAAGGUUUUCGGAUUGUAAACUUCUGUCCUUGGUGAAGAGAAGAAGACGGUAGCCAAGGAGGAAGCCCCGGCUAACUACGUGCCAGCCGCCGCGGUAAGAC